CCUAGUGGGUGCAGCAGUGGGGAAUAUUGGACAAUGGGCGAAAGCCUGAUCCAGCCAUGCCGCGUGUGUGAAGAAGGCCUUCGGGUUGUAAAGCACUUUCAGUGGGGAAGAAAGCCUUGGGGCUAAUACCCUCGAGGAAGGACAUCACCCACAGAAGAAGCACCGGCUAACUCCGUGCCAGCAGCCGCGGUAAUACGGAGGGUGCGAGCGUUAAUCGGAAUUACUGGGCGUAAAGCGCGCGUAGGCGGUCUGAUAAGCCGGUUGUGAAAGCCCCGGGCUCAACCUGGGAACGGCAUCCGGAACUGUCAGGCUAGAGUGCAGGAGAGGAAGGUAGAAUUCCCGGUGUAGCGGUGAAAUGCGUAGAGAUCGGGAGGAAUACCAGUGGCGAAGGCGGCCUUCUGGACUGACACUGACGCUGAGGUGCGAAAGUGUGGGUAGCAAACAGGAUUAGAUACCCUGGUAGUC
rnacentral:rRNA from 1 species